GACGAACGCUGGCGGCGUGCCUAAUACAUGCAAGUCGAGCGAAUUUUUGGGAGCUUGCUCCCAAAAAUUAGCGGCGGACGGGUGAGUAACACGUGGGCAACCUGCCUGUAAGACUGGGAUAACUUCGGGAAACCGGAGCUAAUACCGGAUAAUUCUUUUCCUCACAUGAGGAAAAGCUGAAAGACGGUUUCGGCUGUCACUUACAGAUGGACCCGCGGCGCAUUAGCUAGUUGGUGAGGUAACGGCUCACCAAGGCAACGAUGCGUAGCCGACCUGAGAGGGUGAUCGGCCACAUUGGGACUGAGACACGGCCCAAACUCCUACGGGUGGCUG
rnacentral:rRNA from 1 species